rnacentral:sRNA from 1 species
UAUUCACCCAACAGCUGUUGGCUCUGGUGAGCAGCACAUCCUGCCAGGGAACUCUGAGCCAGGCCUGCAGAGCCCACCUGGGAGCAGGCGGGAGUCAGCAUGGGCUCGCAGCCUAUCCCGGAGCCUCGCCGACCUGUUUCCUCCUCAGGCCAAGGAUGACAUGCAAUUUUAACUGACACCAGGCCUGUGGUCUGAUAUCCAGAGUUGCCCAGAAAAGGAGUUGUUAGUUUUACCUGAUAUUUAUGGUCUAAAAACGACCUACCUGGAAUCCCUCAUCCUGUGGCUUCAGCUCUCUCGGCCACAUUGAAGACCCUUGUGCUUUCAUUGGGGCCACCUGGAUACUCCAGGCUAAUGUCUGUAUUUUAAGGUGUGGAUAUGGUCAAAAGCCAAGUUCAUCAAUAGGAAAUUCCUAAUGCAGGAACUUUAGCAGUGCUUUCUAGAUGGAGAUAACGGCUUUGUG